rnacentral:tRNA from 1 species
AAUAUGGUGCCCGGACUCGGAAUCGAACCAAGGACACGGGGAUUUUCAAUCCC